rnacentral:rRNA from 1 species
UACGAAGGGUGCAAGCGUUAGUCGGAAUUACUGGGCGUAAAGCGUGCGUAGGUGGUUUCUUAAGUCCGUUGUGAAAGCCCUGGGCUCAACCUGGGAACUGCAGUGGAUACUGAGAGGCUAGAGUGUGUCAGAGGAUGGUGGAAUUCCCGGUGUAGCGGUGAAAUGCGUAGAGAUCGGGAGGAACAUCCGUGGCGAAGGCGGCCAUCUGGACCAGCACUGACACUGAGGCACGAAAGCGUGGGGAGCAAACAGG